rnacentral:rRNA from 1 species
CGGCGUACGGGUGCGUAACGCGUAUGCAACCUACCUUUAUCUGGGGGAUAGCCCGGGGAAACUCGGAUUAAUACCGCAUAAGAAAGUGAUAUGGCAUCAUAUAGCUUUUAAAGAUUUAUUGGAUAAAGAUGGGCAUGCGUAAGAUUAGAUAGUUGGUGAGGUAACGGCUCACCAAGUCUGCGAUCUUUAGGGGCUCUGAGAGGAGAAUCCCCCACACUGGCACUGAGAUACGGGCCAGACUCCUACGGGAGGCAGCAGUAGGGAAUAUUGGGCAAUGGGCGAAAGCCUGACCCAGCCACGCCGCGUGCAGGAAGACGGCCCUCUGGGUUGUAAACUGCUUUUAACUGGGAAGAAAGAAGCCCUUGCGAGGGAAGUUGACGGUACCAGUUGAAUAAGCCACGGCUAACUACGUGCCAGCAGCCGCGGUAAUACGUAGGUGGCAAGCGUUAUCCGGAUUUAUUGGGUUUAAAGGGUGCGUAGGCGGUUUAAUAAGUCAUUGGUUAAAGGUAGCAGCUUAACUGUUUUACAUGCCACUGAUAC